CCUACGGUGGGCAGCAGUGGGGAAUAUUGGGCAAUGGGCGCAAGCCUGACCCAGCAACGCCGCGUGAAGGAAGAAGGCCCUCUGGUUGUAAACUUCUUUUAUCAAGGACGAAACAAAUGACGGUACUUGAUUAAUAAGCCACGUCUAACUACGUGCCAGCAGCCGCGGUAAUACGUAGGUGGCAGUCGUUAUCCGGAUUUACUGGGUGUAAAGGGAGUGUAGGCGGGACUGGAAGUCAGAUGUGAAAGCCAUGGGCUCAACCCAUAGACUGCAUUUGAAACUGUAGUUCUUGAGUUUUGGAGAGGCAGGCGGAAUUCCGGGUGUAGCGGUGAAAUGCGUAGAUAUAAGGAGGAACACCAGUGGCGAAGGCGGCCUGCUGGACAAUGACUGACGCUGAGGCGCGAAAGCGUGGGGAGCAAACAGGAUUAGAUACCCUUGUAGUC
rnacentral:rRNA from 1 species